rnacentral:rRNA from 1 species
GAGAUAGAGCUUUCCCUUCGGGGACAAAGUGACAGGUGGUGCAUGGUUGUCGUCAGCUCGUGUCGUGAGAUGUUGGGUUAAGUCCCGCAACGAGCGCAACCCUUAUUGUUAGUUGCCAUCAUUUAGUUGGGCACUCUAGCGAGACUGCCGGUGACAAACCGGAGGAAGGUGGGGAUGACGUCAAAUCAUCAUGCCCCUUAUGACCUGGGCUACACACGUGCUACAAUGGGAAGUACAACGAGUCGCUAGACCGCGAGGUCAUGCAAAUCUCUUAAAGCUUCUCUCAGUUCGGAUUGCAGGCUGCAACUCGCCUGCAUGAAGCCGGAAUCGCUAGUAAUCGCGGAUCAGCACGCCGCGGUGAAUACGUUCCCGGGCCUUGUACACACCGCCCGUCACACCACGAGAGUUUGUAACACCCGAAGUCGGUGAGGUAACCUUUUUGGAG